AUUGAACGCUGGCGGCAGGCCUAACACAUGCAAGUCGAGCGAGCGGCGGACGGGUGAGUAAUGCCUGGUAAUUGCCCAGUCGAGGGGGAUAACAGUUGGAAACGACUGCUAAUACCGUAUACGAUUAGAUUGCCCAGGUGGGAUUAGCUAGUUGGGGGGGUAAUGGCUCACCAAGGAGACGAUCCCUAGCUGGUCUGAGAGGAUGACCAGCCCCACGGGAAAAGAGACACGGUCCAGACUCCGACGGGAGGCAGCAGUGGGGAAUAUUGCACAAUGGGGGAAACCCUGAUGCAGCCAGGCCGCGUGUGUGAAGAGGGCCUUCGGGUUGUAAAGCACUUUCAGCGAGGAGGCGUUACUCGCAGAAGAAGCACCGGCUAACUCCGUGCCAGCAGCCGCGGUAAUAC
rnacentral:rRNA from 1 species